rnacentral:lncRNA from 1 species
CAUAAACGCUUGACAAGACAGAGAUUGAUGGGAAAGAAUGGAGGCAGGGGUUAGAUGCACAGAGGUAGAAUUCUCGGAUCCCUCGCCCCUCGUCUGCUGCUGCACCACCCUAAAGCACUGUUGCCACCGAGGUUUCUAACCUGUAUUGCACACCACUGCUGUCAAUAAGCAAAGAAUAUGUUCUGGGUUGCUUAAAUCAACCUACUUCCUUGUGGGGUGAAGACAUGAAUUCUGGGGUUGUGGAUGAACAUGUGAAUUCUGGGGCUGUGGUGUGAAUACAUGAAUUCUGGGGCUGUGGUGUGAAUACAUGAAUUCUGGGGCUGUGGUGUGAAUACAUGAAUUCUGGGGUUGUGGUGUGAAUACAUGAAUUCUGGGGCUGUGGUGUGAAUACAUGAAUUCUGGGGCUGUGGUGUGAAUACAUGAAUUCUGGGGUUGUGGUGUGAAUACAUGAAUUUUAGGGCUGUGGGUGAACAUGUGAAUUCUGGGGCUGUGGUGUGGUAGAAUCCGAAUUCUUGGCCUCAUGCCUCAGUUUACUUUAAUUCUCUGAGCUCGAGUCCAAUGUGUAAUUUGGAACACUGAUCUCAAGAUUUCUCACUGGGAGAAACUUUGAGUGGUUGAGUACAUCUUAGUAAGCAUCCAUAGAAAGGCUCCAGGUGGGGUCAUCUAGGAGGGAUAUUUACUUCUCUUACCAACCCAGUGAUUGCUAAGGCUCCUCCCCAAAGUCUGUCCCUUCCUUCCUUCCUUCCUUCCUUCCUUCCUUCCUUCCUUCCUUCCUUCCUUCCUUCCUUCCUUCCUCCCUCCCUCCCUCCCUCCCUCCCUCUCUGUCUCUCUCUCUCUCUCUCUCUCUCUCUCUCUCUCUCUGUCUCUCUCUCUGUCUCUCUCUUUCUCUCUCUCUCUCUCUCUCUCUCUCUCUCUCUUUCUUUCAGCAUUUUAUUUGGGAACAGUUUCA